rnacentral:rRNA from 1 species
UACGGAGGGGGCUAGCGUUGUUCGGAAUUACUGGGCGUAAAGCGCGCGUAGGCGGCUUUGUAAGUUAGAGGUGAAAGCCCGGAGCUCAACUCCGGAAUUGCCUUUAAGACUGCAUCGCUAGAAUCAUGGAGAGGUGAGUGGAAUUCCGAGUGUAGAGGUGAAAUUCGUAGAUAUUGGGAGGAACACCGGUGGCGAAGGCGACCGCCUGGACGAUGACUGACGCUGAGGCGCGAGAGCGUGGGGAGCAAACAGG